CACAUUCUGCCACAUUCCCACUGCCCCAAAUCCAUUCGUUGCCAUUCUCUACCUGUCCACCAGAGGCCCUCAGACUUUUCCACCUGACUCCCUCAUCCACCUGCUCACCUGUUUCCACUUUCCCUCAUCAGCCCUGCAGUGCAGUAUGUAACCGGCCCAUUUCUACUCAUUCCCUGGCUGUCAGCUCAUCACAGUUGUCAUGUAUGUGCUUUUUGCUUUUGCUUUCUAGCUUCUGUAAUCUGAAACUUGGAACCUGAAAUGUGUUACCUGCCUGUUUCGAGCUGCUAUAACUGAUCUUUUGGACUUUGGAUUUCCUGCCUGACUCUUCUGAUGUUUUGCCUGUUUGGACUGCCUUCCCGUUUUCACCCUUGCCUGGCUCAUGAUUCCUUCUUCCUGCCUCGAUUGUCUGUUGAUCACUGUAAUCUGGCCCAGUACUGACCCAGGUUAUGACUCAUGCUCUGCUGAUCAGCUCCUGGAACCUGGACUGGCACUGAAACGCCGGGUGAUAUGAGCCCUGAAGAGAGGGAGAAGAAAGGUUUCAUUUCAGCAAGCAGUCAGAGGAUUUAAUAAAGGGACUCUGCUCUGUGACGACGACAUGCUUUAGUAAACUUUGGACGGUGCUGAUGAAUGAUGAAUGAUGAAAUGUCCAAACCUGGACUCCAGAUGAGAAAACUGACAGGGAGCUGUAGCUGGGCAGGGACGACUCAGCCUGACUCAACAUGGACCCUGGAGAGAGAGAGAAGACACACACGGAGCGAGACGUGUAGUGACCUGGUGUUUACCUGAACUGCUGCCGUGCUGCUGAUGAUGAUAGACGGAUGUGUUGAAGGAAGUGGUCAGAGGGGCUUGGCUCUGUGAACAGGAAGUUGCGUUCCCUGUCCUCCUUUGAUUGCGCAGCUU